UACGUAGGGGGCAAGCGUUGUCCGGAAUUAUUGGGCGUAAAGAGCGUGUAGGCGGUCCGGUAAGUCAGCUGUGAAAGUCAAGGGCUCAACCCUUGAAUGCCGGUUGAUACUGUCGGGCUAGAGUCCGGAAGGGGCGAGUGGAAUUCCCGGUGUAGCGGUGAAAUGCGCAGAUAUCGGGAGGAACACCAAUGGCGAAGGCAGCUCGCUGGGACGGUACUGACGCUGAGACGCGAAAGCGUGGGGAGCAAACAGG
rnacentral:rRNA from 1 species